UACGAAGGGUGCAAGCGGUAAUCGGAAUUACUGGGCGUAAAGCGUGCGUAGACGGCCUUUUAAGUCUGCUGUGAAAGCCCUGGGCUCAACCUGGGAACUGCAGUGGAUACUGAGAGGCUGGAGUGCGGUAGAGGAUGGUGGAAUUCCCGGUGUAGCGGUGAAAUGCGUAGAGAUCGGGAGGAACAUCAGUGGCGAAGGCGGCCAUCUGGACCAGCACUGACGUUGAGGCACGAAAGCGUGGGGAGCAAACAGG
rnacentral:rRNA from 1 species